GGUGAGAUGGCCGAGUGGUCUAAGGCGCCAGACUAAGGUGAACUCAUGGAAACAUGAUAAUUUAACUCAUUCAGCCAUGGUUAUCUGGUCCGCAAGGGCGUGGGUUCGAAUCCCACUCUCAUCA